AAAAGGAUUGGUCAUCAUGAAGGAUGUGCAGCAGGCCUUCAUGGGCCAUCAUUCCCUGUGUAGGCACAAGGGAUAUAAGGCACUUCAAAGAGGGGCUAUUGCAUGGGGUAGCAGCACUGAACUCUGUAACUUAUACCUGCUUGGAAGGCACAGUCUCACCAGUCACAGCCAGCUCUAAAUUGGGUUGUUUUCAGUACUGGUGAAGCAUCUUGAGUAUCUUGUUUUUUUAGUUUCAUUUUGAAGGCUUUUAUUCAGGAUAUGGCAAAUGGGAUCAUUGUGACCUCAGCUCAGCUCCAUCUGCUGAUAGAGACAUUAUUUUGGGGCGUAAUGUCACAAUUGCUUUAAAUAAUUUAGACUGAAAAGCUCCAGGAUGAUGCCUGCAAUGGAAAUCAUAAUGCCUUCUCUCACAUCCUGCUCUGGGAAAAUGUCUAGAAGGAAGAUGAAAACCUGAACUGGGCUCUCCCUCCCUCCUGCAGGUGGAACUCAAGUGUUGAAAAAAAAUCAUGACUGGCUGAAAACAAAUAAAACACCCACAGACUGUGCCCUUUGGCUCUGAGCCAGUGGGGUGUACACUCAGCAGUUUUUUCAAA